UUUGUGCUUCCAAUGAUUAAAGUUUUUGAAUAUUGUUGCGACUAAGUCAUUUUCUCGAUAUUCAAGUCAUUUUCUCAAUAUUCUAUUGAUGACUUACGUCUUAGAUGAAAUAUAAUAUAUACACUACUAUAGCUAAAUUCCAAAACAAUGUCCUUCUUGCUCAAAAAAUUAUGUAAAACUUAUUGAUUCUUUAGUUCCCUGUACUUAAAAGAAUGACCAAUGAGGUUGGGAGCUCCACAUGUUAUUUAGUAAACCAGAAGUCUCUAUUCUUCUCUUACCUUCAAUCAAUUUCUAAACUUCAGACAUGGAAGAUUGUAAAGGGAAUUCGAUUGCCUUGUAGGUUCCAUCUCCAUUAAAGUAUCAGUCAAUGCUUCAUUCGUACAAAAUACUUUUACUGUUUGAAAGCAUCAGCAACUACUUAAAUUGUAAAUUGUUAUAUCGUAUUUACUUUCUUCGUGAUUUCGUAAUGAUUAAAAUUUUAGAGCCCGGGUCAGAGAGAACCUUUCCAACAAUAUAGAUCUGACCGACAGGGCUAUCCAAAGCAAUGUUGCUAAGUUGAAGAAACUAAAGAAUGGGAUGAGAAAUAUAUAGAUCCCUAUCUCUUAAGAUAGGGCAAGGACAUGACUGUUGAAGAUAAAUUAAGAAAUAAGUUGUGUGUUAAAUUCUACACAGAUGCUAAUUCAAUUUACCGCACUUAUUGUGGCUCAUUUAUACAUGGUUUAGCCAUGACUAUAUUAAAAAUACCAACCACACAUAGUAGCUAAUUGAAUCCACAUUGCCAGUUCAGUAUUCCUUGUUGCUAUUGCAUAUUUAAUCUACACAAAAGUAGCAUUGCAAAGAAAAUAUUGUUAGGCUGACUGCACUGCAAUUAAAAAGUUGACUCAUCAUUUGUUGGGGCAUGCAUCGUGUGUAACUAUAUGGUUUUACUGAACUGGCUAGGUUAAUUGUAUAUUUACAUCCUUUCUUUGUUCUUAUUGGUGACAUUACUAAAGUUUUGCACAGUGCCACUUAUCUUUAUUGGGAGGACUUUCACUCAGAUUGUCGGAAGCACCCUAGCUGCACAGGCUGCUGAAUAUCCAUAAUUAUAGCAAACGAGUUGCACGAACCAACUAUGCUGGAUUACAUUGUCGACAAGGUACAAUCCGAUUAUACUGAUAAAUCCACCAUAUCCCUAAGUUGGAGAACUUAUGAACUGUGUUGGAGACAAGGAAGAUAUAAUGGCAAGGUACAGAUGGGCAAGUUCUCCGCAAAUAGCUUUAUCACAUGUACUUGUACCAGUACAUGAUAACAUAGUACCAACUGCAGAGAUUCAGCCGCAGUCUCCUAUACAUCUCUUUCGCAUCGGAGGUAAAAUGUUGCUACCGGCUGCUGACCAAGAGCUUUAUGACUAUUAUGUUCCCACUGCGGGCAACAAUUCAGAACCGCUGUAAGGAGAAUUGUUCAUUGUGCAAGCUGCAACAGACGUGCGAUGUUAAUACCCAGAUUGCAGUGGAACAGUUGUUGCAACCUUAUCAAGCCAAUUAGGAGAGAAAUUUCUUGAAAUUACCUCUGCAAAAAUGUAUGAAAUAAUCUGUGUAAAGGCAUGUUAGUGAGAAUAAGAGACUUUAUUAGUCAUUUCUGAGAAUUCAUUGUACUUUAGAAAAUCAUUCUACCCUUAUUGACAAGCCAUUGAGAUGAAAAGCAUGACAGACUAUAGUCUCGGCUAAAGAGCUUUCACAA